GACCAUGCUUGUCAUUUAUGAACAUUUUGAAAAUCUUGGCUCUCUCUAAUUUUCUCCUUCUCUCUUUCUUUCUCUCGGAGGACCUGAGCCCUAGGACCAUACGUCGGGACUACCGGCCGUGGUGACUCCUUGCUGCCCUCAGUCCGCCUGGCCUUGCUGCUAUUCCAGUUUCAACUCUUCUGCCUGCGGUUAUGGAACCCCUACCUGUCCCAGACCUGCUGUUUUCAACUCUUAAUGAUCGGCUAUGAAAAGCCAACUGAGAUUUAUUCCUGAUUAUUAUUUGACCAUGCUUGUCAUUUAUGAACAUUUUGAAAAUCUUGGCUCUCUCUAAUUUUCUCCUUCUCUCUUUCUUUCUUUCGGAGGACCUGGGCCCUAGGACCAUGCGUCGGGACUGCCGCCCGUGGUGACUCCUUGCUGUCCCCAGUCCGCCUGGCCUUGCUGCUAUUCCAGUUUCAGCUGUUCUGCCUGCGGUUAUGGAACCGCCACCUGUCCCAGACCUGUUGUUUUUCAACUCUUAAUGAUCAGCUAUGAAAAGCCAACUGAAAAUUAUUCAUGAUUAUUAUUUGACCAUGCUUGUCACUUAUGAACAUUUUUGAACAUCUUGGCAUAGUUCUGUUAUAAUCUCCACCCGGCACAGCCAGAAGAGGACUGGCCACCCCUCAUAGCCUGGUUCCUCUCUAGGUUUCUUCCUAGGUUUUGGCCUUUCUAGGGAGUUUUUCCUAGCCACCGUGCUUCUACACCUGCAUUCUAGCUGUUUGGGGUUUUAGGCUGGGUUUCUGUACAGCACUUCGAGAUAUUAUCUGAUGUACGAAGGGCUAUAUAAAAUAAAAUUGAUUGAUUGAUUGAUUGAGAGGUGGUCCUGGGAGGUUGUGGUUAGGGUUAAACCACCAGGAGCUGGGCAUUAUGAAGGGAGAGGUGGUCCAGGGAGGUUGUGGUUAGGGUUAAACCACCAGGAGCUGGGCAUUAUGAAAGGAGAGGUGGCCCAGGAGGGUUGUGGUUAGGGUUAAACCACCAGGAGCUGGGCAUCAUGGAGGGAGAGGUGGUCCAGGAGGGUUAGGGUUAAACCACCAGGAGCUGAGCAUUAUGGAGGGAGAGGUGGUCCAGGGAGGUUAGGGUUAAACCACCAGGAGCUGGGCAUUAUGGAGGGAGAGUUGGUCCAGGAGGGUUCGGGUUAAACCACCAGGAGCUGGGCAUUAUGAAGGGAGAGGUGGUCCAGGAGGGUUGUGGUUGGGGUUAAACCACCAGGAGCUGGGCAUUAUGGAGGGAGAGGUGGUCCAGGAGGGUUAGGGUAAAACCACCAGGAGCUGAGCAUUAUGAAGGGAGAGGUGGUCCAGGAGGUUUGUGGUUAGGGUUAAACCACCAGGAGCUGGGCAUUAUGAAUGGAGAGGUGGUCCAGGUGGGUUAGGGUUAAACCACCAGGAGCUGGGCAUUAUGAAGGGAGAGGUGGUCCAGGGGGGUUGUGGUUAGGGUUAAACCACCAAGAGCUGGGCAUUAUGGAGGGAGAGGUGGUCCAGGUGGGUUAGGGUUAAACCACCAAGAGCUGGGCAUUAUGAAGGGAGAGGUGGUCCAGGGAGGUUGUGUUUAGGGUUAAACCACCAGGAGCUGGGCAUUAUGAAGGGAGAGGUGGUCCAGGAGGUUUGUGGUUAGGGUUAAACCACCCGGAGCUGGGCAUUAUGAAGGGAGACGUGGUCCAGGAGGGUUGUGGUUAGGGUUAAACCACCAGGAGCUGGGCAUUAUGAAGGGAGAGGUGGUCCAGGAGGGUUGUGGUUAGGGUUAAACCACCAGGAGCUGGGCAUUAUGGAGGGAGAGGUGGUCCAGGAGGGUUAGGGUAAAACCACCAGGAGCUGAGCAUUAUGAAGGGAGAGGUGGUACAGGAGGUUUGUGGUUAGGGUUAAACCACCAGGAGCUGGGCAUUAUGGAGGGAGAGGUGGUCCAGGAGGGUUAGGGUAAAACCACCAGGAGCUGAGCAUUAUGAAGGGAGAGGUGGUCCAGGAGGUUUGUGGUUAGGGUUAAACCACCAGGAGCUGGGCAUUAUGGAGGGAGAGGUGGUCCAGGAGGGUUGUGGUUAGGGUUAAACCACCAGGAGCUGGGCAUUAUGAAGGGAGAGGUGGUCCAGGGAGGUUUGGGUUAAACCACCAGGAGCUGGGCAUUAUGAAGGGAGAGGUGGUCCAGGUGGGUUAGGGUUAAACCACCAGGAGCUGGGCAUUAUGGAGGGAGAGGUGGUCCUGGGAGGUUGUGGUUAGGGUUAAACCACCAGGAGCUGGGCAUUAUGAAAGGAGAGGUGGCCCAGGAGGGUUGUGGUUAGGGUUAAACCACCAGGAGCUGGGCAUUAUGGAGGGAGAGGUGGUCCAGGAGGGUUAGGGUUAAACCACCAGGAGCUGAGCAUUAUGGAGGGAGAGGUGGUCCAGGGAGGUUAGGGUUAAACCACCAGGAGCUGGGCAUUAUGGAGGGAGAGUUGGUCCAGGAGGGUUAGGGUUAAACCACCAGGAGCUGGGCAUUAUGAAGGGAGAGGUGGUCCAGGAGGGUUGUGGUUAGGGUUAAACCACCAGGAGCUGGGCAUUAUGGAGGGAGAGGUGGUCCAGGAGGGUUAGGGUAAAACCACCAGGAGCUGAGCAUUAUGAAGGGAGAGGUGGUCCAGGAGGUUUGUGGUUAGGGUUAAACCACCAGGAGCUGGGCAUUAUGAAGGGAGAGGUGGUCCAGGGGGGUUGUGGUUAGGGUUAAACCACCAGGAGCUGGGCAUUACGAAUGGAGAGGUGGUCCAGGUGGGUUAGGGUUAAACCACCAGGAGCUGGGCAUUAUGAAGGGAAAGGUGGUCCAGGGGGGUUGUGGUUAGGGUUAAACCACCAAGAGCUGGGCAUUAUGGAGGGAGAGGUGGUCCAGGGGGGUUGUGGUUAGGGUUAAACCACCAGGAGCUGGGCAUUAUGAAUGGAGAGGUGGUCCAGGUGGGUUAGGGUUAAACCACCAGGAGCUGGGCAUUAUGAAGGGAGAGGUGGUCCAGGGGGGUUGUGGUUAGGGUUAAACCACCAAGAGCUGGGCAUUAUGGAGGGAGAGGUGGUCCAGGGGGGUUGUGGUUAGGGUUAAACCACCAGGAGCUGGGCAUUAUGAAUGGAGAGGUGGUCCAGGUGGGUUAGGGUUAAACCACCAGGAGCUGGGCAUAAUGAAGGGAGAGGUGGUCCAGGGGGGUUGUGGUUAGGGUUAAACCACCAGGAGCUGGGCAUUAUGAAUGGAGAGGUGGUCCAGGUGGGUUAGGGUUAAACCACCAGGAGCUGGGCAUUAUGAAGGGAGAGGUGGUCCAGGGGGGUUGUGGUUAGGGUUAAACCACCAAGAGCUGGGCAUUAUGGAGGGAGAGGUGGUCCAGGGAGGUUAGGGUUAAACCACCAGGAGCUGGGCAUUAUGGAGGGAGAGUUGGUCCAGGAGGGUUAGGGUUAAACCACCAGGAGCUGGGCAUUAUGAAGGGAGAGGUGGUCCAGGAGGGUUGUGGUUAGGGUUAAACCACCAGGAGCUGGGCAUUAUGGAGGGAGAGGUGGUCCAGGAGGGUUAGGGUAAAACCACCAGGAGCUGAGCAUUAUGAAGGGAGAGGUGGUCCAGGAGGUUUGUGGUUAGGGUUAAACCACCAGGAGCUGGGCAUUAUGAAGGGAGAGGUGGUCCAGGGGGGUUGUGGUUAGGGUUAAACCACCAGGAGCUGGGCAUUAUGAAUGGAGAGGUGGUCCAGGUGGGUUAGGGUUAAACCACCAGGAGCUGGGCAUUAUGAAGGGAGAGGUUGUCCAGGGGGGUUGUGGUUAGGGUUAAACCACCAGGAGCUGGGCAUUAUGAAUGGAGAGGUGGUCCAGGUGGGUUAGGGUUAAACCACCAGGAGCUGGGCAUAAUGAAGGGAGAGGUGGUCCAGGGGGGUUGUGGUUAGGGUUAAACCACCAGGAGCUGGGCAUUAUGAAUGGAGAGGUGGUCCAGGUGGGUUAGGGUUAAACCACCAGGAGCUGGGCAUUAUGAAGGGAGAGGUGGUCCAGGGGGGUUGUGGUUAGGGUUAAACCACCAAGAGCUGGGCAUUAUGGAGGGAGAGGUGGUCCAGGAGGGUUGUGGUUAGGGUUAAACCACCAGGAGCUGGGCAUUAUGAAGGUGGUCCAGGGGGGUUGUGAUUAGGGUUAAACCACCAAGAGCUGGGCAUUAUGAAGGGAGAGGUGGUCCAAGGGAACAGUCAUAGCAGUGAAUGUCUAAUCCAAACCAGAAUCAAAACAACACAGUUGAUGGUGGUUUUCAAUAUUAGAAAAAUAUGUCAGUGAAAAAAGUAUCUUGUUGACAGACAAGCUGCUGGCCAGAGGACAGCCCUCAUGUAGGAUUAGUUUAUGUGUGCUACAAUUAGUGAACAAUAAACUCUUUGUGGUUUACUGAAGAGAAAAAUGUUUUAUAGUCAUGUUUGGUAUGUGUAUUCAGGUGAAACUGUUGAGCGUGAAAAGCCCAGCAGCAUUGCAGUGUUUGACACACCCAAACAGGUUUGCUAGGAAUCUACUACCAUACCUCGUUCAAUGUUUGGUCUUGUCCAUUCACCCUCUGAAUGGCACACACACAAUCCAUGUCUCAAUGUUUAAAAAUCAUUUUUUUUUA